GCCGAUGUGAUGAAAUUGGUAAACAUGCACGACUCAAAAUCGUGUGCUCUCGGGCUUGGGAGUUCGAUUCUCCCCAUCGGCA
rnacentral:tRNA from 1 species